AUUGAACGCUGGCGGCAUGCCUUACACAUGCAAGUCGAACGGCAGCACGGGUGCUUGCACCUGGUGGCGAGUGGCGCACGGGUGAGUAAUACAUCGGAACGUACCUUAUCGUGGGGGAUAACGCCGCGAAAGUUGCGCUAAUACCGCAUACGCCCUGAGGGGGAAAGCGGGGGACCGUAAGGACUCGCGCGAUUAGAGCGGCCGAUGUCUGAUUCGCUUGUUGGUGAGGUAAACGCUAACCAAGGCGAUGAUCAGUAGCUGGUCUGAGAGGACGAUCAGCCACACUGAGACUGAGAAACGGCCCAACUCCCUACGGAAGGCAGAGGAGGGGAAUUUUGGACAUGGGGGGCAACCCUGCGCAAGCAAGGCCGCGGGAGUGAAGAAGGCCUUCGAGUUGUAAAGCCCUUUUGUAGGGAAAGAAACAGCAGCACUAAAACAGUCUGCGAAUGACGGUACCUGAAGAAUAAGCACCGGCUAACUACGUG
rnacentral:rRNA from 1 species